GACGAACCGAGCGAACGUUAUUCGGAAUCACUGGGCGUAAAGGGUGCGUAGGCGGUUUUUUAAGUCAGGGGUGAAAUCCUGGAGCUCAACUCCAGAACUGCCUUUGAUACUGAAGAUCUUGAGUUCGGGAGAGGUGAGUGGAACUGCGAGUGUAGAGGUGAAAUUCGUAGAUAUUCGCAAGAACACCAGUGGCGAAGGCGGCUCACUGGCCCGAUACUGACGCUGAGGCACGAAAGCGUGGGGAGCAAACAGG
rnacentral:rRNA from 1 species